UAUGCUGGACCACUGUCAGUCUU
rnacentral:piRNA from 1 species